rnacentral:rRNA from 1 species
UACAGAGGAGCCAAGCGUUGUCCGGAUUGACUGGGCGUAAAGCGCACGCAGGCGGUUGCGCGCGUGGGGUGUGAAAUCUGGCCGCUUAACGGCCAGGCGCCAUCCCAUACGGCGCGACUGGAGUGAUGCAGAGGUCGAUGGAAUUGCCGGUGUAGUGGUGAAAUUCGUAGAUAUCGAGAGGAACACCGGUGGCGAAGGCGGCCUGCUGGACGAUGACUGACGCUGAGACGCGAAAGCGUGGGGAGCAAACAGG